rnacentral:rRNA from 1 species
CCUACGGGAGGCAGCAGUAAGGAAUCUUCCACAAUGGACGAAAGUCUGAUGGAGCAACGCCGCGUGCAGGAUGAAGGCUUUCGGGUCGUAAACUGCUUUUAUAUGGGAAGAUUAUGACGGUACCAUAUGAAUAAGGACCGGCUAACUACGUGCCAGCAGCCGCGGUAAUACGUAGGGUCCAAGCGAUAUCCGGAAUUACUGGGCGUAAAGCGUGUGUAGGUGGAUUAAUAAGUGUGAUGCGAAAUCCGGCGGCUCAACCGUUUGGACUGUGUCGCAUACUGUUAGUCUAGAGGACGGCAGAGGUAAGUGGAAUUACGGGUGUAGCAGUGAAAUGCGUAGAUAUCCGUAGGAACACCAAUGGCGAAGGCAGCUUACUGGGCCACACCUGACACUGAGACACGAAAGCGUGGGGAGCGAACAGGAUUAGAUACCCUGGUAGUCCACGCCGUAAACGAUGCAUACUAUUAGUAUGGGGUAUCGACCCCCUGUGCUGAGAAGCUAACGCGAUAAGUAUGCCGCCGUCGGGAGGUACGAGCGCGAGACUAACUACAANAGAGUAGACGCGUGAGACGUGCCGACGGACGACGACGAGGGAGGAGG